UACGAAGGGGGCGAGCGUUGUUCGGAAUUACUGGGCGUAAAGGGCGCGUAGGCGGCCGAGCAAGUUAGAUGUGAAAGUCCUGGGCUUAACCUGGGGACUGCAUUUGAUACUGCUUGGCUUGAAUUCGGGAGAGGAUAGCGGAAUUCCCAGUGUAGAGGUGAAAUUCGUAGAUAUUGGGAAGAACACCGGUGGCGAAGGCGGCUAUCUGGACCGACAUUGACGCUGAGGCGCGAAAGCUAGGGGAGCAAACAGG
rnacentral:rRNA from 1 species